rnacentral:rRNA from 1 species
GACGUAGGGCGCGAGCGUUGUCCGGAUUUAUUGGGCGUAAAGAGCUCGUAGGCGGCUUGUCGCGUCGACCGUGAAAACUCGCAGCUCAACUGCGAGCCUGCGGUCGAUACGGGCAGGCUAGAGUUCGGUAGGGGAGACUGGAAUUCCUGGUGUAGCGGUGAAAUGCGCAGAUAUCAGGAGGAACACCGGUGGCGAAGGCGGGUCUCUGGGCCGAUACUGACGCUGAGGAGCGAAAGCGUGGGGAGCGAACAGG